GAUGAACGCUGGCGGCGUGCCUAAUACAUGCAAGUCGAGCGAACAGACGAGGAGCUUGCUCCUCUGACGUUAGCGGCGGACGGGUGAGUAACACGUGGAUAACCUACCUAUAAGACUGGGAUAACUUCGGGAAACCGGAGCUAAUACCGGAUAAUAUAUUGAACCGCAUGGUUCAAUAGUGAAAGACGGUUUUGCUGUCACUUAUAGAUGGAUCCGCGCCGCAUUAGCUAGUUGGUAAGGUAACGCUUACCAAGGCAACGAUGCGUAGCCGACCUGAGAGGGUGAUCGGCCACACUGGAACUGAGACACGGUCCAGACUCCUACGGGAGGCAGCAGUAGGGAAUCUUCCGCAAUGGGCGAAAGCCUGACGGAGCAACGCCGCGUGAGUGAUGAAGGUCUUCGGAUCGUAAAACUCUGUUAUUAGGGAAGAACAAAUGUGUAAGUAACUAUGCACGUCUUGACGGUACCUAAUCAGAAAGCCACGGCUAACUACGUG
rnacentral:rRNA from 1 species